CGGUGCGGGUGCGGUGCCGGUGCAGGGCUGGCAGCGGGUGUGGGUGCAGGUGCGGGUCCUGGCCUGGGAGCGGAGCCGGGAGCCGGGAUAUAAAUUCUUGGCUAAAGGGGGAACCGCCGCCGAGCGGGGUCCGCCCGGGGAACCCUUCAGGGCGUCGUGGGCAGCCUUUGGGCUUGGCGCGCCCCAAACGAGGCGUCCACCUUAACGAUUCGUAUCGUCGCUAUUAUCGGCGGUAACGUCUGUGAACCCGAGCAGCUUCCAGCUCGCGGUGCUGCGCCGUGUCGCUACAGCGGCUGCCGCGCGAUCUCGGUUCAUUUUCUCUAAGCAAUACAAGUUCACGGACGCGCUACCUAGCCAGCCCUCCUCUCCCGUCAUGGACCUCCCAGGGUGCGCGACGCCCGCCGUCUGAGGAGGCUCCUUCGCCCCGCGCGGAGGAAGAGGAGGAGGAGGAGGAGAAGGAGGAGGCAGAGGAGGAGAAGGGAGGAAGGCGCGGCCCCAGCCGCCGCCGCCCAGCCACCGUCCCGCAGA